rnacentral:rRNA from 1 species
AUUUAUUUACUAACUUCCAGCUUCUAACCUCUAAUAUCUAAAUCGAUAGUGGCGGACGGGUGAGUAACACGUUGGAACCUGCCCCAAAGUAAGGGAUAAGCCACCGAAAGGUGGUCUAAUACCUUAUAGUAUCCAUCUCGUAUGGAUUAAAGCUUUAUGCGCUUUGGGAGGGGCCCUGCGUUUGAUUAGCUAGUUGGUGAGGUAAAAAGCUCACCAAGGCGACGAUCAAUAGCUGGUUUGAGAGGAUGACCAGCCACACUGGGACUGAGAUACGGCCCAGACUCCUACGGGAGGCAGCAGUAAGGAAUCUUCCACAAUGGGGCAACCCUGAUGGAGCAAUACCGCGUGCAGGAUGAAGCGUUUCGGCGUGUAAACUGCUUUUAUCACCGAAGAUUAUGACUGUAGGUGAAGAAUAAGGACCGGCUAACUACGUG